rnacentral:rRNA from 1 species
GACGAACGCUGGCGGCGUGCUUAACACAUGCAAGUCGAACGGAAAGGCCCUGCUUUUGUGGGGUGCUCGAGUGGCGAACGGGUGAGUAACACGUGAGUAACCUGCCCUUUACUUUGGGAUAACUUCAGGAAACUGGGGCUAAUACCGGAUAGGAGCUCCUGCUGCAUGGUGGGGGUUGGAAAGUUUCGGCGGUUGGGGAUGGACUUGCGGCUUAUCAGCUUGUUGGUGGGGUAGUGGCUUACCAAGGCUUCGACGGGUAGCCGGCCUGAGAGGGUGACCGGCCACAUUGGGACUGAGAUACGGCGCAGACUCCUACGGGAGGCAGCAGUGGGGAAUAUUGCACAAUGGGCGGAAGCCUGAUGCAGCAACGCCGCGUGCGUGAUGACGGCCUUCGGGUUGUAAACCGCUUUCGCCUGUGACGAAGCGUGAGUGACGGUAAUGGGUAAAGAAGCACCGGCUAACUACGUG